AUUGAACGCUGGCGGCAGGCCUAACACAUGCAAGUCGAGCGGAGCGGCGGACGGGUGAGUAAGGCCUAGGAAUCGGCCUGGUAGUGGGGGAGAACGUCCAGAAAUGGGCGCUAAUGCCGCAUACUCUCAGAAGAGCCUAGGUCUGAUUGGCUAGUGGGUGGGGUAAAGGCCUACCAAGGCGACGGUCCGUAACGGGUCUGAGAGGAUGAGCAGUCACACUGGAACUGAGACACGGUCCAGACUCCUACGGGAGGCAGCAGUGGGGAAUAUUGGACAAUGGGCGAAAGCCUGAUCCAGCCAUGCCGCGUGUGUGAAGAAGGUCUUCGGAUUGUAAAGCACUUUAAGUUGGGAGGCGUUACCAGCAGAAUAAGCACCGGCUAACUUCGUGCCAGCAGCCGCGGUAAUUC
rnacentral:rRNA from 1 species